UACGUAGGGCGCAAGCGUUGUCCGGAAUUAUUGGGCGUAAAGAGCUCGUAGGCGGCUUGUCACGUCGGGUGUGAAAGCCCGGGGCUUAACCCCGGGUCUGCAUUCGAUACGGGCUAGCUAGAGUGUGGUAGGGGAGAUGGAAUUCCUGGUGUAGCGGUGAAAUGCGCAGAUAUCAGGAGGAACACCGGUGGCGAAGGCGGGAUCUCUGGGCCGAUUACUGACGCUGAGGAGCGAAAGCGUGGGGAGCGAACAGG
rnacentral:rRNA from 1 species